AUGCAGUCGAACGAAGAGCGAUGGAAGCUUGCUUCUAUCAAUCUUAGUGGCGAACGGGUGAGUAACGCGUAAUCAACCUGCCCUUCAGAGGGGGACAACAGUUGGAAACGACUGCUAAUACCGCAUACGAUCCAAUCUCGGCAUCGAGACUGGAUGAAAGGUGGCCUCUAUUUAUAAGCUAUCACUGAAGGAGGGGAUUGCGUCUGAUUAGCUAGUUGGAGGGGUAACGGCCCACCAAGGCGAUGAUCAGUAGCCGGUCUGAGAGGAUGAACGGCCACAUUGGGACUGAGACACGGCCCAGACUCCUACGGGAGGCAGCAGUGGGGAAUCUUCCGCAAUGGACGAAAGUCUGACGGAGCAACGCCGCGUGAGUGAUGACGGCCUUCGGGUUGUAAAGCUCUGUUAAUCGGGACGAAUGGUUCUUGUGCGAAUAGUGCGAGGAUUUGACGGUACCGGAAUAGAAAGCCACGGCUAACUACGUGCCAGCAGCCGCGGUAAUACGUAGGUGGCAAGCGUUGUCCGGAAUUAUUGGGCGUAAAGCGCGCGCAGGCGGAUUGGUCAGUCUGUCUUAAAAGUUCGGGGCUUAACCCCGUGAUGGGAUGGAAACUGCCAAUCUAGAGUAUCGGAGAGGAAAGUGGAAUUCCUAGUGUAGCGGUGAAAUGCGUAGAUAUUAGGAAGAACACCAGUGGCGAAGGCGACUUUCUGGACGAAAACUGACGCUGAGGCGCGAAAGCCAGGGGAGCGAACGGGAUUAGAUAC
rnacentral:rRNA from 1 species